rnacentral:rRNA from 1 species
AUGGGCGAAGAAAUUACCAGAGGGGACCCACAAGCCUGGGGGGCUUAUGGGCCCCUGGCAGGUCUUCGGUGCCCAUCUUCUGCUAUAUGGAGUCUUUUGACCUGGAAAAAAAAUCAUAAGAGAGCUUUCGGGACGAAGCGCCGCGGUCUUGAGGCGGAACCUGGGCAGGAGCAAUCUAGAGCUCCGGCAGAGCGAUUCUGCCAGGAAACUUCCCUCCGGGAGGGGGAAAUCGAAGCCAUCGUCAUCACCAAUGAUCCUCUCAUCGAUAGGGGGUCAAUCUCCAUCAAUAUCUUCACCAGCAUCAUCUCCUCUCAAACCCUAAUUCAUCUCUUGUAUUCAAUCUUUGUUUCAAAACCUCAGAUUGGUACCUGUGGGUUGCUAGUAGUGUUGAUUACUCCUUGUAGUUGA